rnacentral:rRNA from 1 species
UACGUAGGUGGCAAGCGUUGUCCGGAUUUAUUGGGUUUAAAGGGUGCGUAGGCGGCCCUGUAAGUCAGUGCUGAAAUAUCCCAGCUUAACUGGGAGGGUGGCAUUGAUACUGCAGGGCUAGAGUACAGAUGAGGUAGGCGGAAUUGACGGUGUAGCGGUGAAAUGCUUAGAUAUCGUCAAGAACACCUAUAGCGAAGGCAGCUUACUAGGCUGUAACUGACGCUGAGGCACGAAAGUGUGGGGAUCAAACAGG